rnacentral:rRNA from 1 species
GAUGAACGCUGGCGGCGUGCCUAAUACAUGCAAGUCGAGCGAACAGACGAGGAGCUUGCUCCUCUGACGUUAGCGGCGGACGGGUGAGUAACACGUGGAUAACCUACCUAUAAGACUGGGAUAACUUCGGGAAACCGGAGCUAAUACCGGAUAAUAUAUUGAACCUCAUGGUUCAAUAGUGAAAGACGGUUUUGCUGUCACUUAUAGAUGGAUCCGCGCCGCAUUAGCUAGUUGGUAAGGUAACGGCUUACCAAGGCAACGAUGCGUAGCCGACCUGAGAGGGUGAUCGGCCACACUGGAACUGAGACGCGGUCCAGACGCCUACGGGAGGCAGCAGUAGGGAAUCUUCCGCAAUGGGCGAAAGCCUGACGGAGCAACGCCGCGUGAGUGAUGAAGGUCUUCGGAUCGUAAAACUCUGUUAUUAGGGAAGAACAAAUGUGUAAGUAACUAUGCACGUCUUGACGGUACCUAAUCAGAAAGCCACGGCUAACUACGUG